rnacentral:lncRNA from 10 species
CUGGAUCUCCUGCCCCCUUGAUCUGCCUUUUAAACCCGUAUUCUGUCUCUUUCCAACUCCUUUGACUCUUCUGAACUUGGGGUACUCACCGGGUGGUGUGGGGGUGGUUUCCCCAACAUCCGUUGCCCAACAUGGGGCUCCCUGUAAUCUCUACAAAUAAUCCGGUGAAGGAACGGCAGAGUGUGGAAAGUGGAGGACGAGUGACAAAGGAUGCCAGAGUACUUUUUCACUUCAAGCUCUAUGGGUUCAACAAAAAGAGUGUUUCCAACCUGUUGAAUCAAAGGAAAAGUUAAACUCUGUGACGUGAAUCCACACAUCACAAGGGAAUUUCACAGAUAGCUUCUUUCUGGUUUGUAUUUGGAAAUAUUCAUUUUUUCACGAUUGCCCUCAAUUGGCUCUUAAAUGUCCCUUUGCAGAUUCCACAAAAAGGGUGUUUUCAACCUGCUGAAUCAAAAGAAAGGUUUAACUUUUUGGGAUAAAUCCACACAUCACAAAGCAGUGUUGCAGAUAGCUUCUCUCUAGUUUUCAUCUGGAAAUACUCGCUAUUUCACCAUAGCCCUAGAUGGGAUCCCAAAUAUCCCUUCACAGAUGGUACAAAAAGAGGGUUUCCAAACUACUAAUCAAAAGUAAGGUUUAACUCUGUGAGAUGAAUCCACUCAUCACAAAGCAUUUUCACAGAUAGCUUCUUUUCAGUUUUUAUCUAGAAAUACUCAGUUUUUCACCAUAGGCCUCAAUGGGCUCCCAAAUGUCCCUUCACAUAUUCUACAAAUAGAGGGUUUCCAACCUCCUGAAUAAAAAACAAGGGUAAACUCUUUUAGAUGAAUCCAUACACAAUAAACCAGUUACACAGAUAGUUUAUUUCAAGUUCUUAUCUGGGGAUAUUCAGAUUUUCACCACAGGCCUCAAUGGGCUCCCAAACGUCCCUUCGCAGAUUCUACACAAAGUGUGUUUCCAACCUGCUGAAUGAAAAGAAAGGUUUAACACUGUGAGAUGAAUCCACACAGCACAAAGCAGUUUUACAGAUAGGUGAUUUCUAGUUUUUAUCAGGGGAUAUUCAGUUUUCCACCAUAGGUCCCAAAGGGCUCCCAAGUGUCCCUUUGCAUUUACUACAAAAAGAGUGUUUCCAACUUGUUGAAUGAAUAUAACAGUUUAACUCUGUGAAAUGAAUCCACUCGUCCCAAAGCAGUAAAAUAGAUAAUUUCUGUCUAGUUUUUAUUUGGAAAUAUUCAAUUUUCCAUGAUAGGCCUCAUUGGGCUUCCUAAUGUAAUUUUGGAGAUACUAUAAAAAGAGUGUUCCCAAACUGCUAAUCAAAAGAAAAGUUUAACUGUUUAAGAUGAAUACACAUGUCACAAAGCAGUUUUACAGAUAGCUUCUAUCCAGGUAUUUUUUUUUUUUAGGAGUUUUGCUCUUUCUCCCAGGCUGGAGUGCAGUGGCAAGAUCUUGGCUCACGACUUUCUCCUGCCUCAGCCUCCAAAGUAACUGGGACUACACACGCCAGCCACCACACCUGGCUAUUUUUUUUUGUAUUUUUUGUAGAGGUGGGUUUCCCCGUGUUUCCCAAGAAGGUCUCGAUCUUCUGACUUCAUGAUCCACCCACCUCAGCCUGCUGAAGUGUUGGAAUUAAAGGCAUGAGCCACCACACCUGGCCACUUCUUUCUGGUUUUUAUAUGGAGAUAUUUGGUUUUUCACCAUAGGCCUCUUUUGGCUCCCAAAUGUCCCUUCACAUAUUCUAGAAAAAGACUGUUUCCAACCUGCUGAAUCAAAAGAAAGGUUAAAAUCUGUAGGAUAAAUCCACACAUCACAAAGCAGUUUCACAGAUAGCUUCAUUCUAAUUUUUAUCUUGGGAUAUUCGGUUUUCUACUAUAGGCCCCAAUAAGCUCCCAAAUGACCCUUCCCAGAUUAUAGUUUUUAACUGGGAAUAUUCGGUUUUUCACCCUCUUUCUCAAAGGGCUUCUAAAAGUCCCUUCACAGAUUCUGCAAAAAGGGUGUUUCCAACCUACUGAAUCAAAAGAAACGUUUAACUUUGUGGAAUGGAUCCACAGAGCACAAGCAGUGUCACAGAUUGCUUCUUUCUGGUUUUUAUCUGGGGAUAUUCGCUUUUUCACCAUAGGCCUCAAUGUGCUCCAAAAUGUCCCUUCAUAGAUUCUACAGAAAGAGUAUUUCCAACCUGCUGAAUCAAAAGAAAGGUUUAACUCUGUGAGAUAAAUCCACACGUCACAAAGCAGUUUCACAGAUAGCUUCUCUCCAGUUUUUAUUUGAAGAUAUUCUGUUUUUCACGAUAGGCCUCAAUGGGCUCCCAAAUAUCCCUUUGCAGAUUCUACAAAAAGAGUGUUUACAACCUACCGAAUCAAAAAAAAAAGGUUUAACUCUGUGAGACGAACCCAUACAUCACAUAGAAGUUUCACAUAUAGCUUUUUUCUAGUUUUUAUCUGUGAGUAUUUGGUUUUUCACCAUAGGCUUAAUUGGGUUCCCAAUGUCCCUUCGUAGCUUGUAGAGAAAGAAUGUUUCCAACUUUCUAAUCAAAAGGUUUACCUCUGUGAGAUGAAUUGAAACAUCACAAUGCAGUUUCACAGACAGUUUCUUUCCAGUGUUUAUCUGGGGAUAUUCAUUUUAUCACAAUAGACCUCAAAGGGUCUCCCAAAUGUCCCUUCACCUUUACUACAAAAAGAGGGUUUCCAACCUGUUAAAUCAAAAUAAAGGUUUACCUCUGUGAGGUGAAUUUACUCAUCACAAAACAGUUUCACAGAUAGUUUGUUUUGAGUUUCUAUUUGGGAAUAUUCUGUUUUUCACAAUAGGCCUCAAUGUGCUCCCAAAUGUCCCUCUGCAGAUUCUACACAAAGAGUGUUUUCAAUCUGCUGAAUGGAAAUAAAUGAUUAACUUUGUGAUAUGAAUCCACACGUGACAAACCAGUUUCACAAAUAGCUAAUUUCUAGUUUUUAUCUUGGGAUAUUCAGUUUUUCACCUUAGGCCUCAAUAAUCUCCCAAAUGUAGCUUUGCAGAAUCUAUAAAAUGAGAGGGUCUAAUCAAAAGUAUGGCUUAACUCUAUGAGAUAAAUUCACACAUCACAAAGCAGUUUCCCAGAUAGUUUUCUCCAGUUUUUAUCUUGAAAUAUUCUCUUUUUCAUCAUAGAAAUCAAUGGGCUCUCAAAUGUCCCUUUGCAGAUUCUACAAAACGAGUGUUUCCAAACUUUUGAAUCAAAAUAAUGGUUUAUUUCUGUGAGAUGAAUUCACUCAUCACAAAGAAUUUUCACAGAUAGCCUCUUUCUAGUUUUUAUCUGGAGAUAUUCCAUUUUUCACUAUAGGCCUCAAUGGGCUCCCAAUUGUCCCUUCACAGAUUCUACAAAUAGUGAGUUUUCAACCUGCUGAAUCAAAAGGAAGGAUUAAAUCUGUGAGAUGAAUCCACACAUGACAAACCAGUUUUGCAAAUAGCCUAUUGUCAGUUUUUAUCUGGGGAUAUUCGGUUUUUCACCAUAGGCCUAAAGAAGCUCUGAAAUGUCCCUUCACAUUUACUACAAAAAUAUUGAUUCCAACCAGUUAAAUAAAAACAUAGUUUUAAUUCUGUGAGAUUAAUCCACUCAUCACAAAGCAGCUUCAAAGAUAGCUUCUUUCUGGUUUUUAUCUGUAGAUAUUCAGUUUUUCACCAUAGGUCCCAAUAGGCUCCCAAAUGUCUCUUCAUAGAGUCUGCAAAUAGAGUGUUUCCAACCUGUUGAAUGAAAAGAAUGGUUUAUUUCUGAGACGAAUCCACACAUGACAAGCCAGUUUCACAGAUAACUUAUUUCUUGUUUUUGUCUUUGGAUGCUCAGUUUUUCACCAUAGGACUCUAUGGACUCAAAAAUGUUCCUUUGCAGUCUCUAUAAGAAGAGUGUUUCCAACCUGCUAAUCAAAAGUAACAUUUAACUCUGUGAGAUAAAUCCACACGUAACAAAGCAGUUUCACAGAUAGCUUUUCUCCAGUUUUUAUCUGCAAAUAUUUGGUUUUUCACCAUAGGAAACAAAGGUCUCCUGAAUGUGCAUUCACAGAUUUCACAAAGAAAAAGUUUCCAACCUGCUGAAUUGAAAGGAAGUUGUAAAUCUGUGUGUUGAGCCCACACAUCACAAAGCAGUUUCACAGAUAGCUUCUUUUUAGUUUUUUCUGAAGAUAUUCUGUUUUUCACCAUAGCCUUCAAUGGGCUCGCAAAUGUCUUUUCACAGAUUCUAAUAAAAGAGUGUUUCUUCUCUCCCUCUUCCUCUCCCACUCCCUCUCCCUCUCCCUCUCCCACUCCCUCUCCCUCUCCCUCUCCCCAUGGUCUCCCUCUCCCUCUCUUUCCAUGGUCUCCGUCUCAUGCCGAGCCGAAGCUGGACUGUA